AAACCAACAGGGAUUGCCUUAGUAACUGCGAGUGAAGCGGCAAGAGCUCAUAUUUGAAAUCUGGCACCUUCGGUGUCCGAGUUGUAAUUUGUAGAAGCAUCUUUUGGAUUGGUCCUUGCAUAUGUUCCUUGGAACAGGACAUCAUAGAGGGUGAGAAUCCCGUUCAUGGUGGGGAAUCCAAUUCUUUGUAAAGUGCUUUCGAAGAGUCGAGUUGUUUGGGAAUGCAGCUCUAAGUGGGUGGUAAAUUCCAUCUAAAGCUAAAUAUUGGCGAGAGACCGAUAGCGAACAAGUACAGUGAUGGAAAGAUGAAAAGAACUCCGAAAGGAGAGUGAAAAAGGACGUGAAAUUGUUGAAAGGGAAGUGCUUGAGAUCAGUCUUAAGGUUUAGUGAUCAGUCUUCCUUUUGGUUGGUGCACUCACUAUUUCUUAGGCCAACAUCAGUUUUGGCGGCAGGAUAAUGACAUUGGAAUGUGGCUCUUUCGGGAGUGUUAUAGCCUUUGUUGAUACUGCCUGCUUAGACUGAGGACUGCGCUUUUGCUAGGAUGUUGGCAUAAUGAUCUUAAGCAGC
rnacentral:rRNA from 1 species